UGUUCAUCAUAACAGAGCGAGCGUUGAUUUAUUGAUAGAAUUUUAAGCUUAAGAAUUGCUAAAGGCUCCAAAGCAAUAAUAGAGAUGUUCAUGUUUGACUUCCACUACCGCUACCUUUCAAAGGCUCAAUACGCAUCAACCUCGUUCCCAGGCUUUUUCCUCCACAAGAGGAAAACGAACACUCUGUACAACACACACCUCUGCAUGUACAACGGAUAGUUAGCUUAUUAAUUAAAAUCUUUUAAAUAGAAACCUGUAAACAACAGAUAACACUAGCCUCCUCUGAAGGCAUGCCUUUAGGUUGGUGGGCAGAAUUUGAUUGCAGGCAACAUUCUAACUCCAAGCAACCCAGGUGAACUACGACGUGCCUGCGGAGGAGGCUGAGAUACCUCCAAACAAUGGACAGCUGCAGUGACACCAUUCUAAGUACAAACUGAAAAUAUGCGAGUAUAAAAACUACCUUCAUAUAUAGGACAUUUAUAGAGAUUCAGGCUUAUAAACUUUACUGGUAAAAAUCUGGAAGAAAUCGCUGAUUUUAAAAAAUUAAUUUUUGGUUUUACUUCAUAUUUUACUAAUUUACUUUGUGG